rnacentral:misc_RNA from 1 species
GAUGAAGAACGCAGCGAAAUGCGAUAAGUAAUGUGAAUUGCAGAAUUCAGUGAAUCAUCGAAUCUUUGAACGCACAUUGCGCCCGCCAGUAUUCUGGCGGGCAUGCCUGUUCGAGCGUCAUUUCAACCAUCGAGCCCCCGGCUUGUGUUGGGGACCUGCGGCUGCCGCAGGCCCUGAAAACCAGUGGCGGGCUCGCUAGUCACUCCGAGCGUAGUAAUACAUCUCGCUCAGGGCGUGCUGCGGGUUCCGGCCGUUAAAAAGCCUUAUUUACCCAAGGUUGACCUCGGAUCAGGUAGGAAGACCCGCUGAACUUAAGCAUAUCAAUAAGCGGAGGA